rnacentral:misc_RNA from 1 species
GAUGAAGAACGUAGCGAAAUGCGAUAAGUAAUGUGAAUUGCAGAAUUCAGUGAAUCAUCGAAUCUUUGAACGCACAUUGCGCCCUCUGGUAUUCCGGGGGGCAUGCCUGUUCGAGCGUCAUUACAACCCUCAAGCUUUGCUUGGUAUUGGACAUUGCCAGUUUCUGGCAGGUCUUAAAAUCAGUGGCGGUGCCAUUUGGCUUCAAGCGUAGUAAUUCUUCUCGCUUUGGAGAUCCAGGUGGUUACUUGCCAAUAACCCCCAAUUUUUUCAGGUUGACCUCGGAUCAGGUAGGGAUACCCGCUGAACUUAAGCCUAUCAAUAAGCGGAGGA